UACGUAGGGUGCAAGCGUUGUCCGGAUUUAUUGGGCGUAAAGGGCUCGUAGGCGGCCAACUAAGUCAGACGUGAAAUCCCUCGGCUUAACCGGGGAACUGCGUCUGAUACUGGAUGGCUUGAGUUUGGGAGAGGGAUGCGGAAUUCCAGGUGUAGCGGUGAAAUGCGUAGAUAUCUGGAGGAACACCGGUGGCGAAGGCGGCAUCCUGGACCAACACUGACGCUGAGUGAGCGAAAACCAGGGGAGCAAACGGG
rnacentral:rRNA from 1 species